rnacentral:rRNA from 1 species
GGAGUUAGGAAAUGUAGACUCGCUCAUAUCGGGUCUAUUUGACAAAGGCUCCAAAGGAAGCCACGGCUAACUCUGUGCCAGCAGCCGCGGUAAUACAGAGGUGGCAAGCGUUGUUCGGAAUUAUUGGGCGUAAAGAGCACGUAGGUGGAUUUGUAAGUCAGACGUGAAAGCCUUCUGUUCAACGGAAGAAUUGCAUCUGAAACUACAAACCUUGAGUGUAGGAGGGGAGAGUGGAACUUCUGGU